UUGUACCAUGAUGUUUUAGAACUGCGAUAUUUUGUAGCAUGACGUUUCCUCCUUGCGUUGUUUUCUCCGCGACGUUUUCGUCCGCGAUGUUUUUGUCGCGAUGAUUUCGGCUGUAUCCAAAAUAAUAUGUUCUAUGGGAAUUUCAAGUAAAGAGUAAUUAAUAAAAAAGAUACUAAAUUUUUUUAAACAUGAAUGCUAUUACUCAGCUUUUUCCACAGGAUGGAUUGACAGCCUACAAGGUGGCAUUGCGAACAAAACACACAGAUACAGCAUUACUAAUCUAUUUAUGGACACUGUGGAUGGAAAGGAGUUUAAAGAGAAUGCCAUGCUUACAUUGUGCUAACAAGAAGAGAAGUGGAAUAAAGAGCAUAAUAAAAGUCAAAAAAGCCCUUCAUGAUAACAUUGCCAGCUGAGCUGAUGCCACUGAACAGCAUAAAAAAUCAUAUUACAAUUAUUUCAGCCUUAUGGCAAAUGGCAUUUUUUUGUAUUAUUAUUUAUUCCUUUGGUAAACAAGAAUGUUUAAUAAAAUAAUAUAUAUCCAGUA